rnacentral:tRNA from 1 species
UGGAUUAUAGCUCAGUGUUAGAGCACUUGCCGAGUAUGCAUGAGGUCCUGGGUUCAAUUUCCAGCGCUGCAG